rnacentral:rRNA from 1 species
CAAUAGCGUAUAUUAAAGUUGUUGCGGUUAAAAAGCUCGUAGUUGGAUUUCUGCCGAGGAUGACCGGUCCGCCCUCUGGGUGUGUAUCUGGCUCAGCCUGGGCAUCUUCUCGGUGAGCGGCUUCUCUUCACUGAGUUGUCGUGGGAUCCGGGACCUUUACUUUGAGGAAAUUAGAGUGUUUCAAGCAGGCGAUUCGCCUUGAAUACAUUAGCAUGGAAUAAUAACAUAGGACUUCGGUUCUAUUUUGUUGGUUUCUAGAGCUGAAGUAAUGAUUAAUAGGGACAGUUGGGGGCAUUCGUAUUGAACUGUCAGAGGUGAAAUUCUUGGAUUUGUUCAAGACGGACUACUGCGAAAGCAUUUGCCAAGGAUGUUUUCAUUGA